GGGCAUGGAACUGAUGAAUGAAACUGAUAAGAGUGCAAUGUUUGAAACAUAAUGGCAGUCAAAGAAAUAUGCGCGGCAGACUAAACUAUGGAGCAAAAAUCCGGAGAAAUCAAGGCGCGCGGAGGAAACGCUUAACGCCUCGCUCCGUGAAAUCUUGUCUCUCACACGCGCCUGUAAAAUGUGCCAGCGCUCGCGAGGUCAGCAGUUCUACUACAUCGCCACGUGGUUUUCCCAGCGCGGAAUGACGCAGCGCGCUCCCGUCAGCCAAUCGGCAGCGCGGGUGUGCGCGGACAUGUGAGGGAGGAGAAUAGAGGAGCUGCGCGCACAUGUUCGGUACUGUGCACAGACGCCCAAAGAUAAACUGCGUUCUUUUCGGUUGAUGUCAGAAAUACACUGAGUUGCCAAGUCCAUAUUUUCCGGCGUAAUGAAGUACUGAAGAGCUUCUGGUCCUGACCUUCCUAUGUGGAUACUGGAGGCAAUGCACCAGGCCAUCUCUCCAUCAGGAGAGGGAGCUUCCUGCAGGAUACUGCGGGCCAGGCGGAGGGCAGCACCUGCCAGCUGGGAAGGCAGAUACACCACACAAUGCCCCUCCAACAGAGAGAGCUCCAACAGCAGCCAGAAAAAGGCAAACCACACCCAGAAGCUGCAGGCCAGAGAUGGACACUUUGAUGAGCCUUAGCGCUCGAUUCAUCAGGUGUACUGCCAGAUAUAACGUUUCCUCCGAGAACUGGAACACUUCCUGCGG